CAGCGACUGUCAUCGUUUCAUGUCAAGUUUGGUGUUUGUAAUGUUAUAUUUGCAUCGGUUAACAUCUAGUCACUUUUUACUGUGCUUCUUACAAACCUAAUUCUUUUGACAUGUAAUUAAACGGUUUGCCAGACGUCAGAUGAGGUCCCAGAUGAGAGGCUUCAUUCUGCUGCUUCCGGAGAGGGUCGCCCGGGGAGACACUACAACUUCUCCUUCUUCGGGCUGCCCGUCACCCUGCUUCUGGGACCAGUAGAACACUACGCCUUCUACCACCACCGCCUACCACCAGGAAGGACAAUGACUAUGAUGUGCAAAAGGAAACCGCAAGUUUUAUGUUUAGGCAUGAAUAUUUAAAAGGACUGUUAUUUAAAGGGUCCCCAAAAUAAUUCAUCUUCGGUUAUUUAUGUGUCAUAGUCAUCGUUAUUUUUUAAUUGUUAUUUAUUUAAUUGUUAUUUAUUUAAUUGUUAAUUCAUUCAAGGUUUAUAUUGCAGUUACCAUCCUUAAAUUAUUAGUUAGGCCUAACUUUUUCACAGUUAAGUUACCAUUUGUAAUCUGGAAGGGUAAAUUUUUUGAGAAAAGUGUUAUUUAAAAUUGAUAAAUUCUUUGGAUGGGGAAAUGAUCGUUGUUUGAUGUUAUUUGUAGAUUUUGAAAAUAUAUAGGCUUUUGUUCACAA